AUUGAACGCUGGCGGCAGGCCUAACACAUGCAAGUCGAACGAGAGGCGGACGGGUGAGCAAUGCUUGGGCAUGUAGCUUAUGGAGGGGGACAACUACGGGAAACUGUUGCCAAUACCGCGCACCAUAGGCUGAGCCCAAGUGGGAUUAGGGAGUUGGUGAGGUAAAGGCUCACCAAGCCGACGAUCUCUAGCGGGUCUGAGAGGAUGACCAGCCACACUGGGACUGAGACACGGCCCAGACUCCUACGGGAGGCAGCAGUGGGGAAUAUUGCGCAAUGGGGGCAACCUGACGCAGCCAUGCCGCGUGAGUGAAGAAGGCCUUCGGGUUGUAAAGUUCUUUCGGUAGCGAGGCGUUAACUACAGAAGAAGCACCGGCUAACUCCGUGCCAGCAGCCGCGGUAAUAC
rnacentral:rRNA from 1 species